UCUUGUUCUUUAUCGCCAGAAGAUCGAUUUCUAUCGUACAUGGUUCUUGCCUUUUACCAGAACCAUCCGGGAAUCGUCUUUGCUAAUGGUGUAUCGUUAGUUUUUGGAAUCCAAUUUGAUCGUAAAGAUUUAUCUUAUG